rnacentral:misc_RNA from 1 species
GAAAUGCGAUAAGUAAUGUGAAUUGCAGAAUUCAGUGAAUCAUCGAAUCUUUGAACGCACCUUGCGCUCCUUGGUAUUCCUUGGAGCAUGCCUGUUUGAGUAUCAUGAAAUCUUCAAAGUAAAUCUUUUGUUAACUCAAUUGGUUUCUACUUUGGUAUUGGAGGUCUUUGCAGCUUCACACCUGCUCCUCUUUGUUCAUUAGCUGGAUCUCAGUGUUAUGCUUGGUUCCACUCGGCGUGAUAAGUUAUCUAUCGCUGAGGACACUGUAAAAGGUGGACUAGGUAAAUGCAGAUGAACCGCUUCUAAUAGUCCAUUGACUUGGACAAUACUUUUAUGAUCUGAUCUCAAAUCAGGUAGGACUACCCGCUGAACUUAAGC